rnacentral:rRNA from 1 species
GACAAACGCUGGCGGCGUGCAUAAAGCAUGUAAGUCGAACGCGAAAGUCCCGCAAGGGAUCGGUAGAGUGGCAAACGGGUGAGUAACACGUGGGUGACCUGCCUUCGAGUGGGGGAUAACGUCCCGAAAGGGACGCUAAUACCGCAUGACAUCCUGCCUUUUAAGAGGCGGAGAUCAAAGCUGGGGAUCGCAAGACCUAGCGCUUGAAGAGGGGCCCGCGCCCGAUUAGCUAGUUGGUGGGGUAACGGCCUACCAAGGCAACGAUCGGUAGCCGGCCUGAGAGGGCGGACGGCCACACUGGGACUGAGACACGGCCCAGACUCCUACGGGAGGCAGCAGUGGGGAAUUGUUCGCAAUGGGCGCAAGCCUGACGACGCAACGCCGCGUGGAGGAUGAAGAUCUUCGGGUCGUAAACUCCUUUCGAUCGAGACGAACGGCCUCCGGGUGAACAAUCCGGAGGAGUGACGGUA